AGUCAAAGGUAGUUAACAACAUGAGACUGGAAAGUAGUUUUCUGCAUUAGGCAUGUUUAUGAUAAAUCAAAAUGAAGUAGUUAUUUGGCUCAUAGUCUGCAUUUGUACUAAUUCUACAACAAUCCCAUGUUAUCCGUCCCACAGUUCCAUUAGCAGCUCUGUGUCUCUGCCACUCUACUGUACAUUUAAGGAAAUUUAUAGCAGCUCACCAAUCUACACAUCUUUGGAAUGUGGAAAGAAAUUGGAGCACUUGGAGGAAACCCAUGUGAUCACAAGGAGAAUAUGCAACUUCCAUACAGGAGUUCAGAAUAGGAAACAGUCAGACAGUUUACAGUUUACUGUUACUUCGAGACAAGGCAAUGGAAUCCGGAGCAAAAUACAAACUGCUGGAGAGAGGAACUCAGGAGGUCGAACAACAUCAGUGGAAGGAAAGAAAAUGUCAAUGUCCUGAUGUUAUGAAACAAUGACAAUUCCUUUCUACAACCCUGGCUGUGAAGCAAGUGGACUGCUAGCUAUGGCACAGAUGACAUAUUGUAAACAGGAAAAGAAAAUGCUGGAAUAAAAAUUCUCAAAUCAGGUGCCAACAAAAUGGCCCUUUUUGUCAAGAAUCUGGUCCAAGCAGUCAACAGGCCUCUUUUGCAAUGGAAUAGAUGCUCAUUCCUUUGGAUGUCGGUUUGUUCGGUGAUGCGUAAGCAAUCGAUUAUUGCAGCC